UCUCGCUCUACAUCUUUCCAUAGUGUUUAAUCAUCCUUGUAUGGGUUUCCCUCCAUAGAGAGCUGUGCUGGGUGUCUGCCCCCUUUGUAGUGGGAUCAGGAUCAGGACUAUGGUUCAUGUUCAUCAUAGAGACAUGUAGCACCUCACUGCCUCAGUAUCUGGACACCUCCAGACACCUGAACACCUGAACACCUCCGAACACCUGCCUAGCCUGCUGUCUACUCAUGUUAUUUAGAUACUGGACACUACUGCUUGCUGCUCAGCUAUAGAGAGGAUGAAGAUGAUGAUGACUUUUGCCAGGAUGGUGCAUGGGAUCUUAGGAACAGCGUUCAUCCCUGUUGGUGGGAGUGUGUGGAGCUGCAGUAGCUGCAGACGUGUUAGACGGAGGCGGAGGCUGACACAGUCUGUCUGAAGAGAGCAACAAAGUCUCUCCUCUAUGUGGAAGGAAGUGUGUGUGGAGCCGUCAUGGUCUGCAGCCUGCAACACACCCUCCAUCUCCCUGUGACCUUCUAUUAGGGAGAAGUGCAAUGGCAGCCGUCCCUGCUCUGGCAGCCCUGCACGUCUCUAGCUAGCUACAUAAUAACUGACCCUGCACCCCGCCUUCAGCUAACUUCCUUUUACUC
rnacentral:lncRNA from 1 species